rnacentral:lncRNA from 10 species
AGAGCGAAGGAGAAGAGGGCAUCCAAGCGGAACAGAAGCCCAGUGGGAUAGGAAGACGGGCGCCAUUCAAGAGAAUUGAGUGUGCAGUAAAGAGGAUCUGGGCUGACCAACAGUGUCUUCCACAGAUACACUUGCUAAUUCACGCAUGGAAGACCCAGAGUGUAUCACUCCCCUCAACUGCUGGACUACUGUGCUGCAAACUUUGAGUCAGAAUGAUGAGCUUCAGUCAGGCAUAUCAUGGCUCCUGAACAGGAUUUUGAGAGCAAGAUUCUGUGCCUCCCUCAUCCUGCUGCAGCCUCUCAGUGCAUCUAGGUGUUUCUG